rnacentral:rRNA from 1 species
AUUGAACGCUGGCGGCAGGCCUAACACAUGCAAGUCGAACGGUAACAGGAAACAGCUUGCUGUUUCGCUGACGAGUGGCGGACGGGUGAGUAAUGUCUGGGAAACUGCCUGAUGGAGGGGGAUAACUACUGGAAACGGUAGCUAAUACCGCAUAACGUCGCAAGACCAAAGAGGGGGACCCUCGGGCCUCUUGCCAUCGGAUGUGCCCAGAUGGGAUUAGCUUGUUGGUGGGGUAACGGCUCACCAAGGCGACGAUCCCUAGCUGGUCUGAGAGGAUGACGAGCCACAAUGGAACUGAGAAACGGUCCAGACUCCUACGGGAGGCAGCAGUGGGGAAUAUUGCACAAAGGGCGCAAGCCUGAUGCAGCCAUGCCGCGUGUAUGAAGAAGGCCUUCGGGUUGUAAAGUACUUUCAGCGGGGAGGAAGGGAGUAAAGUUAAUACCUUUGCUCAUUGACGUUACCCGCAGAAGAAGCACCGGCUAACUCCGUG